CCCCAGCUUGCUGGGGUGAUUAGUGGCGAACGGGUGAGUAACACGUGAGUAACCUGCCCCUGACUCUGGGAUAAGCCCGGGAAACUGGGUCUAAUACUGGAUAUGCACCGUGGACCGCAUGGUCCUUGGUGGAAAGAUUUUUUGGUCAGGGAUGGACUCGCGGCCUAUCAGCUUGUUGGUGAGGUAAUGGCUCACCAAGGCGACGACGGGUAGCCGGCCUGAGAGGGUGACCGGCCACACUGGGACUGAGACACGGCCCAGACUCCUACGGGAGGCAGCAGUGGGGAAUAUUGCACAAUGGGCGAAAGCCUGAUGCAGCGACGCCGCGUGAGGGAUGACGGCCUUCGGGUUGUAAACCUCUUUCAGUAGGGAAGAAGCGAAAGUGACGGUACCUGCAGAAGAAGCGCCGGCUAACUACGUGCCAGCAGCCGCGGUAAUACGUAGGGCGCAAGCGUUAUCCGGAAUUAUUGGGCGUAAAGAGCUCGUAGGCGGUUUGUCGCGUCUGCCGUGAAAGUCCGAGGCUCAACCUCGGAUCUGCGGUGGGUACGGGCAGACUAGAGUGAUGUAGGGGAGACUGGAAUUCCUGGUGUAGCGGUGAAAUGCGCAGAUAUCAGGAGGAACACCGAUGGCGAAGGCAGGUCUCUGGGCAUUAACUGACGCUGAGGAGCGAAAGCAUGGGGAGCGAACAGGAUUAGAUACCCUGGUAGUCCAUGCCGUAAACGUUGGGCACUAGGUGUGGGGGACAUUCCACGUUUUCCGCGCCGUAGCUAACGCAUUAAGUGCCCCGCCUGGGGAGUACGGCCGCAAGGCUAAAACUCAAAGGAAUUGACGG
rnacentral:rRNA from 1 species